ACCAUAUCACGUUGAAACACCGGUUCUCGUACGAUUACCGAAGUUAAGCAAUGUUGAGCCUAGUCAGUACCUAGAUGGGUGACCGGCUGGGAAA